AUCCAGCUGGCGAGUCCCAAACGGGACGAAACGUUCGUCCUGAAU
rnacentral:hammerhead_ribozyme from 1 species